UCUAAAGACAUCAGUCAGGAAGUUAAAGCCUGGCGGACCAUGCACAAGCUCCACCACAUUCUGGAUCUUCAAUUCUUGAUCACAGACCACACCAAGUUUGCCCCCAAUUGGUGCUUCGGCCGAAAAAACCCAGAAUUAACACUUUGUCUGAGAUUGCUGGUGUUACGGAGGUCAGCACUGUGACAGGGGUCAACAUUCCACAGUUGGUUGGACUGGAGGACGAUACGGUGCUGGUGGAAAGCUAUGGCUGGCAACAACACCUGACUCCGUAUUUCAGGCCGCUACCACAGAUCAAGCAGUACCAGCACUUCAGUUGAAAAUAAUUUUCCUUGCAUUCUUCGAUGUUCUGGAGCCUGGUGUUGUUGUCGCCAAGGAGCAUUCGGACUGCUGACAUCCUUCCUCCAAUUGAUGGUCUGCCUGUACAAGCACCACCUGGACUGGACACAGCUUGACAAACGUAUCUUUUUGAGAAGAUCAGGGAGUUUUGCGAUGAAGAGUCUGUGGACAUCACAUGCCCCGCACCAAAGUCAAGGGCAGGACAGAAACAGGCUCUCCGAAUGUAGAUUCCCUUGUUCAUGCGUGGUUCGGACAGACCUCUCAUCAGCACUAUCGGCAGUGCCUCUAUUCAAAUGACUCUCUCCUAACACAAACGCCAUACGUUGCUACUACAAUUGUUUUAUGUAUCUUGCUGCUCAGCCACUUUACCCCUGAUUGUAUGCAUAUAACUACCUCGUCAUUGAUAUUGAUAUUGUUCAUGUACAUGCUAUAUAUUUUAUUUAUAUUGACACUAUCUACUUCUGAUAUUGCUACUAUGCAAGUAACCAUUUUGCUGUGCCGUUUACACCUUCCGUAGAGACCCAUCCACUUAGCUAAAUAUUAAUACAUAAAAUGAAUAUUGAUAUGUGUGGUCGUAACAUGAUUUUGUGACAUACCACAACAAUAUCAUGUGACCGUAUCAAGUGUCCACCACGUAAAUAUAUGGUGAAUGCAUCUGUUUAUGUACUGUACAUGUGCACCUCACUCACUUUCAACUCAGGUUGCAUGGCCUUAACUUAUGUAUGGAAUACUAUGUGAUACAUGCGUAUGUAACUGUGUAUAUAAAGUAUGCUAAUGUACUGGUGUGAUGGUAUUUGGGCAGUGGUGUAAAGUACUUCAGUAAAAAUACUUUCAAGUACAACUUAAGUUUUUUUUGGGGGGGGUAUAUGUCCAUUACUUAACUAAUUAUAUUUUUGCCAACUUUUACUUUUACUUCACUACAUUCCGAAAGAAAAUAAUGUACUUUAUUCUCCAUACGUUUUCCCCAACACCCAAAAUGACUUGUUACACUUGUUUGCACACACUGUUUUUAGAUUUCUUCUAUUGUGUUAUUGACUGUACCUUUGUUUAUUCCAUGUGUAACUCUGUGUUGUUUGUGUUGCACUGCUUUGCUUUAUCUUGUCCAGGUCGCAGUUGUAAAUGAGAACUUGUUCUCAACUAGCCUACCUGUUUUUAUUAAAGGUGAAAAAAAAAUUAUAAACAUUUUGACAGGAAA